GACGAACGCUGGCGGCGUGCUUAACACAUGCAAGUCGAACGGAAAGGCCCUGCUUUUGUGGGGUGCUCGAGUGGCGAACGGGUGAGUAACACGUGAGUAACCUGCCCUUGACUUUGGGAUAACUUCAGGAAACUGGGGCUAAUACCGGAUAGGAGCUCCUGCUGCAUGGUGGGGGUUGGAAAGUUUCGGCGGUUGGGGAUGGACUCGCGGCUUAUCAGCUUGUUGGUGGGGUAGUGGCUUACCAAGGCUUUGACGGGUAGCCUGCCUGAGAGGGUGACCGGGCAAAUUGGGAGUGAGAUACGGCCGGGAGUCGUACGGGAGACAGCGGUGGGGGAGAAUGCACAAUGGACGGAAGCCUGAUGCAGCAACGACGCGUGCGGGAUGACGGCCUUCGGGUUGUAAACCGAUUGCGCUUGUGACGAAGCGUGAGUGACGGUAAUGGGUAAAGAAGCGCCGGCUAACUACGUG
rnacentral:rRNA from 1 species